rnacentral:rRNA from 1 species
CCUACGGGGGGCUGCAGUGGGGGAUAUUGCACAAUGGAGGAAACUCUGAUGCAGCAACGCCGCGUGAGGGAAGAAGGUCUUCGGAUUGUAAACCUCUGUCCUCAGGGACGAUAAUGACGGUACCUGAGGAGGAAGCUCCGGCUAACUACGUGCCAGCAGCCGCGGUAAUACGUAGGGAGCAAACGUUGUCCGGAUUUACUGGGUGUAAAGGGUGCGUAGGCGGCCCUGCAAGUCAGUUGUGUAAACUAUGAGCUUAACUCCUAGAUUGCACUUGAAACUGUGGGGCUUGAGUGAAGUAGAGGCAUGCGGAACUGUAGGUGUAGCGGUGAAACACGUCGAGAUCGGGAAGAACACCAGUGACGAAGGCGGCCUGCUGGGCGUUAUCAUACGCGGAGGGACGAAAGCGUGAGUAGCAAACAGGGUUAGAUACCCGGGGAGUC